rnacentral:rRNA from 1 species
AAAUUGAAGAGUUUGAUCAUGGCUCAGAUUGAACGCUGGCGGCAGGCCUAACACAUGCAAGUCGAACGGUAGCACAGAGAGCUUGCUCUCGGGUGACGAGUGGCGGACGGGUGAGUAAUGUCUGGGAAACUGCCUGAUGGAGGGGGAUAACUACUGGAAACGGUAGCUAAUACCGCAUAACGUCGCAAGACCAAAGAGGGGGACCUUCGGGCCUCUUGCCAUCAGAUGUGCCCAGAUGGGAUUAGCUAGUAGGUGGGGUAACGGCUCACCUAGGCGACGAUCCCUAGCUGGUCUGAGAGGAUGACCAGCCACACUGGAACUGAGACACGGUCCAGACUCCUACGGGAGGCAGCAGUGGGGAAUAUUGCACAAUGGGCGCAAGCCUGAUGCAGCCAUGCCGCGUGUAUGAAGAAGGCCUUCGGGUUGUAAAGUACUUUCAGCGAGGAGGAAGGUGUUGAGGUUAAUAACCUCAGCAAUUGACGUUACUCGCAGAAGAAGCACCGGCUAACUCCGUGCCAGCAGCCGCGGUAAUACGGAGGGUGCAAGCGUUAAUCGGAAUUACUGGGCGUAAAGCGCACGCAGGCGGUCUGUCAAGUCGGAUGUGAAAUCCCCGGGCUCAACCUGGGAACUGCAUUCGAAACUGGCAGGCUAGAGUCUUGUAGAGGGGGGUAGAAUUCCAGGUGUAGCGGUGAAAUGCGUAGAGAUCUGGAGGAAUACCGGUGGCGAAGGCGGCCCCCUGGACAAAGACUGACGCUCAGGUGCGAAAGCGUGGGGAGCAAACAGGAUUAGAUACCCUGGUAGUCCACGCCGUAAACGAUGUCGACUUGGAGGUUGUGCCCUUGAGGCGUGGCUUCCGGAGCUAACGCGUUAAGUCGACCGCCUGGGGAGUACGGCCGCAAGGUUAAAACUCAAAUGAAUUGACGGGGGCCCGCACAAGCGGUGGAGCAUGUGGUUUAAUUCGAUGCAACGCGAAGAACCUUACCUACUCUUGACAUCCAGAGAACUUUCCAGAGAUGGAUUGGUGCCUUCGGGAACUCUGAGACAGGUGCUGCAUGGCUGUCGUCAGCUCGUGUUGUGAAAUGUUGGGUUAAGUCCCGCAACGAGCGCAACCCUUAUCCUUUGUUGCCAGCGGUUAGGCCGGGAACUCAAAGGAGACUGCCAGUGAUAAACUGGAGGAAGGUGGGGAUGACGUCAAGUCAUCAUGGCCCUUACGAGUAGGGCUACACACGUGCUACAAUGGCGCAUACAAAGAGAAGCGACCUCGCGAGAGCAAGCGGACCUCAUAAAGUGCGUCGUAGUCCGGAUUGGAGUCUGCAACUCGACUCCAUGAAGUCGGAAUCGCUAGUAAUCGUAGAUCAGAAUGCUACGGUGAAUACGUUCCCGGGCCUUGUACACACCGCCCGUCACACCAUGGGAGUGGGUUGCAAAAGAAGUAGGUAGCUUAACCUUCGGGAGGGCGCUUACCACUUUGUGAUUCAUGACUGGGGUGAAGUCGUAACAAGGUAACCGUAGGGGAACCUGCGGUUGGAUCACCUCCUUA